rnacentral:rRNA from 1 species
GACGAACGCUGGCGGCGUGCUUAACACAUGCAAGUCGAACGGAGCGAAUGAAAGCUUGCUUUUAUGAGCUUAGUGGCAAACGGGUGAGUAACACGUAGACAACCUGCCGACAGUAUGGGGACAACAUUCCGAAAGGAAUGCUAAUACCGAAUGAAGCGGAGGAGAGGCAUCUCUCCUCCGUGAAAGAUGGCCUCUGAACAUGCUAUCACCUGUCGAUGGGUCUGCGUCUGAUUAGCUGGUUGGUGAGGUAACGGCUCACCAAGGCGACGAUCAGUAGCCGGUCUGAGAGGAUGAACGGCCACAUUGGGACUGAGACACGGCCCAGACUCCUACGGGAGGCAGCGGUGGGGAAUCUUCCGCAAUGGGCGCAAGCCUGACGGAGCAACGCCGCGUGAGUGAAGAAGGUCUUCGGAUCGUAAAGCUCUGUUGAUGGGGACGAACGUGCGAAGGGUGAAUAAUCCUUUGCAAUGACG